CACAAAAUCUCUCAACCUCAACCAAUGCCGCUGCCGCCGCCUCCAGCAUUUGGGGAUCAGAUCAAUGCACUGGCUUUGAGUUGGAACUAAUCAAGCCAUCAACACAUGUGUCACACUGCAAUUGCUUGCUGCUUCUCUGGUCUUCUUUCUGUUGAGAGGUUUUCUGGAUAUUGAGCCCCAAAAAAGCUUUUGCGGAUUUCAGCCCUUGCUGCGUUCCAACAUUUGGAGAUGGAGUAGGCGAAAGCAGCUGAUCAACCAGAUACAUAUGCACUAUUGCUCUGAUCUAAAACACAGUUGACACGAUCCGUUCCAGCUCGUCUUUUUACCUUGGCCCCUGGUUUGUUUCUUCGGUAACCAACUCGAAUCUUGUUCUCGGUCUCCUUGCAGUGAGUGCUCAGUCACGUUCACGAAAAAACGAGUGCCAGCGCCGCACACGCUCAAGGACUUCACUGGGAACAAGUUAGUAACCACAAGUGACGUUGCUGCCCCUCUGUAGAGAAGAGGCUCAAAACGAGAACCUCUGCAGUAUGAGUGGAGUGGAGGCUGCUUUAGCGGCUGGAGUGUUGAAGACUGCUGGUGGCAAGCUAGUUUCACUGAUAUCCAGUGAGUUUACUUCCAUAACAGGUGUCAAGAAAGACCUCUGUGAGCUCCAGGGAAAACAUCAGGAGAUAAGUAGCUGGCUGGCUGUAGUUCGUGACAGAGCAUUAGGGAGUGGCACACAGCUUCCAUGGGUGAACGAAUUGAGAAAUGUUGCCUAUGAUAUUGAAGAUUUACUCUAUGGAGUCCACCUUGAAGCUGAGAAAGACAAUAUACAAAGCGACGGUGACAAGCAACCAAUAGCAGACUACUUCUGUGCAAAACCAAAAUCAUUACUGUUCAGAUGCAAGGUGGCUAGUAAGAUCAAGGCAAUCAAGGUGAAAUAUGAGAAGAUUGUGAAGCAUGCAAGGGAUGCCAACAUUAUAAGGAACAAUUUACAAAUGGAUCAUCCUGCUCGGAGCAGCUACACCAGGACUGCUGGAGAGCCCUCCAUGCUAUCAAAUGUUGAAGACUCCAAAAUACCAAGAAGAGAUCAGGAGAAGGAUGAAAUUGUAAGUAAGAUUUUAGAACCUAAUGAAGGGGAGGAUGGCAGAACGGUAGUAUCUAUUGUUGGAUUAGGUGGGUCUGGCAAAACUACUUUGGCCAAACAAAUCUGCCAUGACAAGAAGAUAAUGGAGAACUUCAAAGAUAUGAUAUUCUGGGUCUAUGUGUCUCAAGAAUUUGAUGGAAACAAGCUUAUUGGCAAGCUAUUUGAAGCUAUCAUUGAGGAAAAAUCUGAUCUUCAUGUUCAACAGAAAAUGCUCCGUGAAAUUUCAAACAAGUUAAGUGGUAAGAAGUUUCUUCUUGUCCUGGAUGAUGCAUGGCAUCAGAACAAGCAUGACUGGGAACACCUCAUGGUGCACCUAAAGAGUGGUGCAGUUGGAAGCAAGAUUUUGCUCACUACUCGUGAUAGGAAGGUUGCAGAAAUUGUGAAAUCAAGGCAUAUAUUCAAGCUAGGGAUGUUAUCAGAGGCUGAGAGUUGGAGCUUGUUCCUAAAGAGCUCUGGGUGGGUAGAGGAGGAUUUAGGCUCUGAGUAUAUAGAAGUUGGAAAAGUGAUCCUGAACAGAUGUAGUGGGGUGCCUCUAGCAAUCAGAACACUUGGAGGUAUCCUCUAUGAAAACAAGGAAAUAAGUAUAUGGAAAGCCAUAGGACAGAGUGAUUUAUGGACGGAUGAGAGUAUAGAAGACAGAGUGUUCGCUUCUUUGAAAUUGAGCUUCAUUCACCUGCCAGAUGAACUAAAGCAGUGCUUCACACUUUGCUCUAUAUUCCCAAAGGGCACAAAAAUCUACAAAGAUCGCUUGAUUUCCCAAUGGGUAGCCCAUGGAUUCAUCAAUUCAAUGAAUGGAAAGCAGCCAGAAGAUAUGGGAAGUGGCUACGUUGAUUCUCUUGUAAAAGUUGGCUUUCUUCAGGAUCCUUCUGAGGAUCAGAGUACUAAACAACUAGUAUGCAAGAUGCAUGAUUUGAUUCAUGAUCUCACUCGACACAUACUGCAGGACGAAGUGGUGACUUGUAUACCGAAUAAUAUGAUAGCAAACCGCAAUCAGAGGUGCAGAUACUUAUCAUUAACUUCAUGUCCAGAGAAGGUUCAUAAGAAUUCAUUUCACAAGGCCCAUGCUCUCUUUAUCUCCAGAGGUAAUCCAAUAUUUGAUAAACCAGUUAUGAAGAGCUCCAGUGUCCGCAGUGUUGUUCUGGACUACACAGAAAACACUCCAUUUCCUCAAUUCACACUGAAGUUUGAAUAUAUCGGAUAUCUUGAAAUCCAUAAUCUUGGUUGCACGAAAUUUCUAGAAGCCAUCUCAAGUUGUUUGAAUUUGCAGUCACUUCAUUUAAUCAAGUGCAAAGGUCUUGUUGCAUUACCAGAAUCUAUUGGCAAGCUUAAGAAGCUCCGAAUUCUAGAGUUGAAUUUUGCUUAUGAUCUUGACAGUUUACCUCAGUCAAUUGGUGAUUGCCGACACCUUCAAUCCUUGAUUCUGUAUCGUUGUGGAAAAUUCAGAGAGAUGCCAGGCACCAUAUGUAAAAUUAAAAACCUGAGGGGCCUUCAUAUAUCUUCGUGUUCAUUUCUGAAACUGAAACAAUUUCCAUCAGAAUUCGCCGGGGUGUUCAGCAACUUGCAGACAAUCAACUUAGCUAAUUCUAUAGAGUUUCAGGGGCUGCCAAGCACAUUGUCAUGUCCACUAUUGUGUACACUUGAUCUUUCUAAAACCAAAGUUACCAUGCUACCUCCAUGGAUUACUACAAUUGAUACUCUAGAGUGUAUAAACCUUGAACAGUGCUCUGAGCUAGUGGAGCUGCCUAAAGGUAUAGGUAACUUGAAAAGACUUGCAGUUUUGAACAUAAAGGGUUGCACCAAACUGCGUUGCAUGCCGUCAGGUAUUGGACAGCUGACCCGUUUAACACAGCUGGCCUUGUUUGUUGUCGGGUGUGAUAGAGAUGAUGCGAGAAUCUCGGAGCUUGAAAAUCUUGAUAUAAGUGGUGAAUUGGAAAUUAGAAACCUUAAGUACGUGAAGGAUCCUUGUGAUACUGAGAAGGCUUGCUUGAAACAAAAGAAUGGCAUAAAGAAUCUGGUUUUGGACUGGUCUUUGAGUGAAGGAGAAGAAGAGUUAGCUUCAGAUGUGGAACAAGAGCAGGGUGUGCUGAGUGGUCUUGAACCACCAUCGCAAAUUGAGAGCUUGGUAAUUUGUCGUUACCAAGGUCCUUGUUUGCCACGGUGGUUGAUGGAGCAGAAUGGUUCUUCUUACUCUGAAGGCACUACGUUAAAGCAAACUGGUCCUUGUCAGUACCCGUCUUUAACCUAUCUGACACUAUCUCGUUCUCCCAACUUGAAGCAUAUGCGAGGACUUAUGAGAUUUCCUUCGCUGAAGUCCCUCGAACUAUGGGAAAUGGCUAGUUUAGAGGACCUGUGGACUACGGCAAGCGGUACAGAAAUUCAGGAGGAGGAAUUAAGUGCAGAAUAUUGCUUUCCAAUCCUAUCCAACCUAGACAUACGGGACUGCCCGAAAUUGAGUACUGUGAAGCCAUACUUGCCACCAUGGCUGGAGUGGCUGUGUUUGCGUGAAAGCAACUUGCAGCUGUUAUCCCCAAAUAACUUCUCUCGUCUGCUUCCAAUGAAUCCUCAUCGUCCAGCAGCCUGCAAUCAUCAUCUGAGUGGCUGGGAGAACUGUGCUCCUUACGAUAUUUGAAAAUCUGGUGUGACAAUCUGAAGAUGCUGCCUGACGCAAUUCAGCACCUCACCUCCCUUGAAUCUCUCAAAUUGAUAUGUUGCCGUGCGCUGGUCGAGCUGCCAGAGGGCAUCGGGCAACUAUAUGCGCUUCGGCAGCUUGGCAUCGAUCGUUGCUCUGCCCUAGAGCGCCUGCCCCAGUCCAUACAACACUUACCUGAUCUCCAGAGUUUGGUUAUUGACGACUGCCCUGCUUUGGCGAGUCGUUACAAGGAAGGAGUGGGGCCGGACUGGCACCUUGUCUCACACAUCCCUCACGUGUGGAUAGAUCCAGAGGAGGAUUAGGAGGCUGGCGGCCUAGCGUCUUGCCUCCCAAGACAUGCAUGCGCGCGAACGCGGCAGCACCAAACUCCGUGGGUUUGGCGGGGCGUUACAAGCAAGGAGUGGGGCACCUUUGUCUCCCUCAUCCCUCGUGACUCAUGCGACGAUAUAAACAUUAACUGGACUAUAGGAUUCCCAAUGGCCCAGCGCCUUGCCUU